rfam:Schistosoma mattheei strain Denwood, Zambia genome assembly, scaffold: SMTD_contig0006617
AUCCAGCUGACGAGUCCCGAGUAGGACGAAACGCGUGUUCUGGAC